AAAUCAUUUUGGGGAAAAUUUCUUAUCAGUCCUUUGCAGCGCUUCCAUGCCUCAUAGAGUGACUCACUCGGUUGUUGCUCGAAAUUUGCUAUAGCUUUUUUGAUUUU